rnacentral:rRNA from 1 species
CCAAUAGCGUAUAUUAAAGUUGUUGCAGUUAAAAAGCUCGUAGUUGAACCUUAGGCCCGUGCGGGCGGUCCGUCCUCGUGGCGAGCACUGUCCGUUGCGGGUCUCACCUUCUGGCGAGCGUAGAUGCCAUUUAUUUGGUGUCUGCGGGAACCAGGACCUUUACCUUGAAAAAAUUAGAGUGCUCAAAGCGGGCUCCGACGCUUGAAUACAUUAGCAUGGAAUAAUGAAAUAGGACGAUGGUUCUAUUUUGUUGGUUUCCGGGACCGUCGUAAUGAUUAGUAGGGAUAGUUGGGGGCAUUCGUAUUCAAUUGUCAGAGGUGAAAUUCUUGGAUUUAUUGAAGACGAACUACUGCGAAAGCAUUUGCCAAGGAUGUUUUCAUUAAUCAAGAACGAAAGUUGGGGGAUCGAAGACGAUCAGAUACCGUCGUAGUCUCAACCAUAAACUAUGCCGACUGGGAAUCGGGCGAUGUUACUUUUACGACUCGCUCGGCGCCCCGAG